rnacentral:rRNA from 1 species
GACGAACCUUGCUAACGUUAUUCGGAAUUACUGGGCUUAAAGGGUGCGUAGGUGGCGCCGUAAGUCAGGUGUGAAAUUUCGGAGCUUAACUCCGAAACUGCAUUUGAUACUGCGGUGCUUGAGGACUGGAGAGGAGACUGGAAUUUACGGUGUAGCAGUGAAAUGCGUAGAGAUCGUAAGGAAGACCAGUGGCGAAGGCGGGUCUCUGGACAGUUCCUGACACUGAGGCACGAAGGCCAGGGGAGCAAACGGG